CCGAGCCGGCCACCACGUCCCUGCAUACUUCAUCAUCACCUGUGCCACCAGAAGCCACCACAGCUUUGGGACACAACCUGAAGACCCUCACAGUCACCUUCCCCAUCUCCACCCUCCAGUAUUCAUCAGACAGGAGCAACGGCUCAGCCACGUUCAACUCCACUGAGAGGGUCCUGCAGAGCCUGGCCUGUGAAGGAUGGGGGAGCCACCUGUGUGGACGCUGUCUGCACCCACCACCGUGACCCCGUGGGCCACCAUGCCUCUGUGCUGGGAGCUGACAGUCUCCACGUGUCUGCUCUUCCUCUCGGUGGCUCCAGGCUCUGCACCCUGGAGUUUAUGCAUGCAGAGAGAACACCAGCUGCAUUUCCGCAGCAUCAGCUGGAACCUCAGCAACCCGGAGCCCACAUCCUCGGAGUACACCGCCCUGCUGAGGGUCA